AGUAACCAGUUUACUGGUAUACGAAGCGAAGGCAAUCACAACAGACCCAAUCAACCCCGGCUAGGGAAGAGACGGCGAGGGAAAAUCGAAUGAAGUGCUGGAGUACACGAGCGGCGGACGGCUGAGUAAACGCGUAGGAACGUACCCCCAAACUGAGGGAUAAGCACCAGAAAUGGUGUCUAAUACCGCAUGUGCUCUAAGGAGUAAAGCUUCGGCGGUUUGGGAACGGCCUGCGUACGAUUAGAUUGUUGGUGAGGUAAUGGCUCACCAAGUCGACGAUCGUUAGCUGGUCUGAGAGGAUGAUCAGCCAGACUGGGACUGAGAACGGCCCAGACUCCUACGGGAGGCAGCAGUAGGGAAUUUUCCACAAUGGACGAAAGUCUGAUGGAGCAACGCCGCGUGCAGGAUGAAUGCCUUCGGGUUGUAAACUGCUUUUAUCUGUGACGAAUAUGACGGUAGCAGAUGAAUAAGGAUCGGCUAACUCCGUG
rnacentral:rRNA from 1 species